ensembl:lncRNA
AUGUGCGUCAUCUGUUCUGUGCCUGCGCUCUUCCUGUUUACCGGCAUUCAACAGAGGUCUGUGGUUAAAACACAGCCGUUUGGGCAUUUUAACACCGCUUGUGUCAUUUUGUGGGGCUUUGCGUACACUGGAGAGUCUAUUGUAAACAACCGUUACGUGCGGUCUGGCUCGUUACACUGCCUAGUCCCAGUGGGGACAUCCAAUAUAUGCUGUUUGGCAUCUACUUCAUUUCUAUCCCGUGGAUACUGACGUCAGCUCUGCUUUCUGGUGUGGCAAACGGCUGCGUUAUUUGGUAUGUGUGUUUAUAUUUCCGAUUGCUGUUCAUAAACUAUAACUAGUUUACUAAUCGUCUUCUUAUCUGUUAGGGGCUAAUACUGUGCGUGCUGCAUUUCCCUACUACAUAUAGAAGCACGCUGCUGUUUUUGUUCCUGCUGGAUUUGCUUUCGUUUCUUUUCUGUAUAUUUUUUUGUUGUGUUUUCAUCAUUUUGUCCUGGGUGAUUUAGCGGCCCGAUUUUUGGAGUUGUUGGUUAAAACCUGCUCCUACUGUGACUGUAUUUUAAAGAUCUUUUCCUCGUACGUUGGGAAAUAACGAGUUCAAGGGCCGCGCUCAUUCAGAUAUUUAUUUCUUCAUUUUCCCUUUGUGGUGUUUCUCAUUUUGGACCGGUUCAGAAUGCUGAGAUUUUCUCUUGGACAUUGUUGUCUUUAAAUUUAUUUUCCUUUUCCUUUUGUGGUAUUAUCUAGCUGUUUAAGCUAGAAUUUAUUUCUUUUCUUUAUGUUGGAAGGGUUUCUUUUGCUCCCCUGCAUUUAAUAAGUUUUUAUUGAUUAAUUUCUAUUGAUUUGAUUUAUUCUGUUUUGUAUUACAAUUACAGGAGCUGUGUGUCCGACGGCAGUGAGGCUUUCCUUCACCGUGUGCUGUGUUAUGCUGUGUGAGCACCACUGAUAAAAUCACGGGUAUUGGAGUGAGUGUGUGUGUGUGUGUGUGCACUUAGUGUGAUUCUCCUCUUUUGCUCCCUCUCUUAGCCCAUUUGAUGCCAAUAGGCUACAGCUCCGAAGUAAAUGUGAAUCCUUAUUGUGGAUUGUGAUUUCCAGCUUAGUAAUUGGCUGGGUGACUAUUAUUCCUGCAUUUUAAACUUUUGUACUAAUAAACAAACUCUAUUUUGCUACCCACGUCUCUUGCUCAUUUUAUUCAGUGGAAUGAACCUGGGUUCCUUAUAACAUUUUAAGUGAACUGUGAUUCCCUGGUAUAGUCCCAGGGUGGCGUAGUCUAUUGUAUAUCUCUUGAGUGUUGAAUAUUGCUGCAAAAAGACCACUUUGCCACACAUACAAUUAACUGUACUUUCACAUCCAAAACAGCAAACAUACACCCAACUUUUCACCUUUAUCCCCUUGAUCUCCUUUGAUUCCUUGUGGUCCCGGUGGCCCAACUUGUCCAACAUCCCCCUUUACACACAGGGGAUAACCUAGCUUCAAUAUCUCUGCUUAAGACUGUUUGAAAUAAUAUGAAACCAACCAACAACCAAUAUUGACAGGUGUCCUCAAACUCAGUUUGGUUUAUCUAGAAGCAUCACUUAAAAACUUCUAAUGAAAUGCACCAUUUGUAUAGAUUUUACCCCUGGAGUGUUUUGGAACUUGCAACAAAACUUUGCAAUCUAUAAAACUGUAUUUUUUCCUUUGUGUGUUCACUGACAAGCAGACCCGGGGGAGCUCUUAGUUUCAUAUUGGUGCUCAUGGCAGUAAUUAACCGUGUUUAAGUUGUCCAAGUGCUGGUUUUCAUAGUUGCAGCUGAGGAAAACCCAAGGGGAAAUAAUUCAGAUUUCAUUCAUGAGCUGGGUUGUAAAACACAAAGGUGACCUGGCUUUGGUGCUGAAAGUUGUUCACAUAUUUAUUGAUUAUCUUACCCUAGCACCCUUUUUCCCAGGAGGACCAAGUAUCUGUGAAAUGUGAGGGGAAUUAUUAGCAAUACUCUAUUCUUAACCAAAAACAUGUUAGACGAGAAACUGAGGAAUUCUGGGACAUCAGUUUUACCCCUUUAGCUGGGUCACCAGGAGGACCACGCUGCCCCUGUGAAUCAAACACAGAAAUACAAAUCCCACAUUGUUUAAUUGUAGACAGCUGUAAGCGCUGAUGUGAUAAACUGCAUAAAUUACCAUGCAUUAAUUGACUACAUAUAAUCGACGCUCAAUGUGAAAUCACAUAAAUUUACAUUACAGGGCAAAUAAAUGGUAGGUUCUGAAACAUUGGCUGAUUGCAUUGCUGUAUGUUUGAUUAUAUACACUUAUUAGUUUUCAAGUGUAGUUGAAAUAAAUUAAACUCAUUAUUUAGAAGGAGAUGUCCACAAAGUUUGGGCAGUGUAGUUAAUUAGAAGUUCUAAAUUUGGUUAAAUGAAGAAAAUAGUUUAGAUUCACCUCAUCACCCUUUCGUCCAGCAGCUUCAGGG